rnacentral:rRNA from 1 species
CGGCGGACGGGUGAGUAACACGUGGAUAACCUACCUAUAAGACUGGGAUAACUUCGGGAAACCGGAGCUAAUACCGGAUAAUAUAUUGAACCGCAUGGUUAAUAGUGUAAAGACGGUUUUGCUGUCACUUAUAGAUGGAUCCGCGCCGCAUUAGCUAGUUGGUAAGGUAACGGCUUACCAAGGCAACGAUGCGUAGCCGACCUGAGAGGGUGAUCGGCCACACUGGAACUGAGACACGGUCCAGACUCCUACGGGAGGCAGCAGCU